rnacentral:pre_miRNA from 1 species
GCUAAGUUUAUUUUUUAGUUUUUAGAUAUAAUGUUUUUGACUCUUCGUUUUAUUUGAAAUAUUAUUGCGAUUAAUAUUUUUGUUAUUACUUGAUGAUGAAACAUGAAUAGUUUUUUAUGCGUGACUAAUGUUUUCUAAGUUUUUAUAUAAAUAUUUUAAAUAAGACGAAUCGUCGAAGUGUUUAACACAGAAAUUAAAAAAUUAACUUAUU